CCCACAGCCUGGGUGACCAAGAGAGAUUUCACCUCAAAAAAAAAAAAAAAAAAAGAAUAUGAUGAUUGGAGUUCUUGUAAUACCUGAUUAACAUCUCUGCAUAAUCAUAAUGACCAACACCCUGAUUGCUCCUACCUAAU
rnacentral:snoRNA from 1 species